rnacentral:rRNA from 1 species
UCUUCCACAAUGGGCGAAAGCCUGAUGGAGCAACGCCGCGUGAGUGAAGAAGUAUUUCGGUAUGUAAAGCUCUAUCAGCAGGGAAGAAGAAAAGGACGGUACCUGACUAAGAAGCCCCGGCUAACUACGUGCCAGCAGCCGCGGUAAUACGUAGGGGGCAAGCGUUAUCCGGAUUUACUGGGUGUAAAGGGAGCGUAGACGGUAGUGCAAGUCUGAAGUGAAAGGCGGGGGCCCAACCCCCGGACUGCUUUGGAAACUGUGCUGCUAGAGUGCAGGAGAGGUAAGUGGAAUUCCUAGUGUAGCGGUGAAAUGCGUAGAUAUUAGGAGGAACACCAGUGGCGAAGGCGGCUUACUGGACUGUAACUGACGUUGAGGCUCGAAAGCGUGGGGAGCAAA